UGCCCAUUGAAUUCUGGUGUGUAUGUGUGUAGUUUUGCUGUAUGUGUGCAAAGCAGAGCACUGUCUAUAUUUCAAAUAGUUAAAGAUAUGUGGCACAAUGAAGUCACAUUUUUACACCCUCACAUGCUAAGGGUGUAAAUGCAGUCUCACAGCCAAAUGCAGCAUUUAUUUCUUAACAUUAGUCUAUCACUCUUGGUUUAUGAUGUUUUAAACACAUGUUAGAGAUAUUCAUGAAGAUGUAAAAGAUAAAUUUAAAACCCACAUCAAUUGCACCAAAAGUCAACUGGAAGGAGAAGAUUUUAAGUCCCAGGUGUGUUAAUACAAAUUGGCAGCCAAAGGAACGGAGUCUUGGCCAACAUAUUUCCAUGUCCACCUAAACACAAAUAGCCUCAAACCUUUGGAGGUUGUUCCUUUGAGAUGUUUCAUCAGUGACAUCACAGUGAUUGCCACCUCCCUUGGACUACUUUAGGCCCUGCCCAGAGCCCCAGAGUCCAGACAGCCCGGGAGAGGAGCAGGAGUUGGAGCCCGAGUUGGAGCCCAAGUUGGAGAGAGAGGAGAAGCCUGCUGCAGCCAGGUGUGUCCUUGACCCUCUUCAGGUCAAGAAACAGAUCAUUGCCAGUACCCCAGAAGUCUGUUCCUGAUCACCUCUGCCUUCUGCCCCACCAGAGGUAAUCACCAACUUGAUUGUUGAGAAUCUUGUCCUUGCUUUUCCUUGUAAUUUUACCCCCUAUGUCUGCAUUCCUAAACAGUGUGAUUAAGUUCCCUGUUUUGGGCUUUGUAUAAAUGGAAUCAUAUUCUAUGUUUCUUUUAUAAAUUCUUCUUUUGCCCAACAAUUAUAUUUGUGAGAUCCGCCCAUCUUCUUGUUUGUUGCUCUGGUUCAUGUUUUCUUUGCUCUAUAGCAUUCAAAUGUAUGCAUAUACCACAAUUCAUCAUCCAUUCUACGGCUGAUGAGCAUUUGAGUUGCUUCCAGCUUGGGGGAUAUUAUGAAAAUGUUGCUGUGAACAUUCUCGCCUGUGUAUCCUGGUGCAUAUGUGCUUGAAUUUCCAGAGUAGAAGUGAAAUAGCUGGAUAAUAUGGGAAUGAGCACUAUCAACCUUAAUAAAAAGUGUCAAAUAGUUUUCCCAAAGUGGUUGAAAAUUUAUAUAUUUUUUUAGCCAGGGACAUUAAUUGCAGUAAUAACUCAUUCUUGUCAUCACUUCUAUGGAGUAACCACAAUUCUAGCAACUAGUUCCAGUCUGCCAGUUCUAGUCCUGCCUCUAACUUGCUAUGUGUCAUUAAUGAACUACCUCUCUCUAAAAGUCGGUUUCUCAGCUAUAAUCUUGAGAGAGAACAAAAUUGCAGUAAUACUUGCCCGAGUGGUUGUGAAGGUCACGGAGUUGUUUGGAAGGUCCCAUGGAUGGAGCUGUGCAUAGUUGUCAAUAACAUUUUCCGAGUAUGUUCCUUUGGGCCACUAUCUAUGAUUUCCUUUAUUUAAGAGCAUAACCUAACAAGCAAAUUUGGUGGGACAGUUAUUUUGCACCCCCCUGAAUUGGGUUGUUUUGAUCAUUAUAAACAGGGUCUCAUAUUUUUGGCCUAUCUCUGUAGUUCUUCAGAACUCACCCAAAUACGUGGGCUUUUGGACCAGGAUUUGAUUUUAUUAAUAAAUUCCUAAGAAGGAGUCUGCCUUUGAUUCUCAUCCCUUUGCUUCCAGGCUUCUUGCCUGGAUCAUCACCUUCCUGUUCCCCUCUGCUCUGUGUACAUUCUUACAUAUUCUCUCUACUUCCCUUAUCUGUUUAUUUUCUUCUGUUUAUUUUCUCCUUCAGGCAACCCUUUGUAAAGAUGUUCAUUGGCAAUUUACUAUAUUCUUCAUGCAGAGGGUCAAAAGAUGGAUAAGGAUUAAAAGGAAAAUGAAACGUCAAUCAAUCAUCAUCAGCCAUAUUUUAAACCAAGAUUCGACAACCUACUGGUUGACACCGUCUGAUUUGAAGCUGCGUGUUAUGCCAACAAUUACAUAAUAAGAAAAAUGAUUAUUCAGCUGGUUUAUAAAAGUAGUAAUUUGGCUCACUAAUAAUAUAACAAAUACAGUAAUUACAAUUAAUAAUUCAGUCAGGUUAGAUGGUUAAAAAUACCAUUCAGGCCCAAAGCUUGCUAAUAACUCUUCUGCCCCCUGAAGUCCCACCCUUAGAAAAAACACUCUUUCCUCCUAAACUUUUUCACUCCAUAGUAGACUUUUGUCCUAAGUAUCUAAAAUUUUAUCUUUAAUUUCAUGUGGUUUGCAUACAUGAAGUGCCAAUUCUGCCACAUCACUGAAGAUAAUAGUUCGAUCGACUAUAUUGCAUAUGUUCUCAAAGUAUGAUUUCCUGCGUGUACUAUCUGUAUGAACUAUAAAGAUACCAUCCCUACUCUUUGAAGUGUUUACAAUCUAGGCACAUCCUGGACUUGACUAAAAAUAGCUGGCACAAGCCUUUGUUGAAAUAGAAGUACUCAUGAGGCUAACACUUGCUCUUUGGACCAAGUGUCUGUUAUGUGAGGGACUUCUGGGUGACCCCAGAAGGCUCUGUGCCCAAUGCGGGGCUUACAAAAAAGGCCAAGCAGCUGUUGGAACUACUUCAAGCUUUCACGAGGGUUAGAUGAAGUCCUCUAGCAGCCUGAAACCUGAAAAAUGAUGGUAUCCUACUUCUAUAUGCAAUUCAAAGAAAGAACAAUACUAAACCAUAACAUUUUUUCUGUUUUGGUGACCUUGCUUGCUGGCACUCUAAGUUAACAAAGUAAGCGCACACACGCACACACACACAGAAUUUGGAGAGAGAAAAGUGUAAUAUUUUGUAUUUUAUCAAAAGCAUCAAUACAAUCAUCACAGGAAAAAAAUCUUGACUAUGUUGGUCUUUUUGACAUCAAGUAGAAAAGUCAGGCUCUCUUUAUUAGUCAGGGCUCUUCAGGGAAACAGAACCAUAGGAUAUGUGUAUGUGUGUCUGUGUGUGUUGUGUAGAUAGAUGAUUGAUGGAUAGAUAGAUAGAUAGAUAGAUAGAUAGUUAGAUAGAUAGAAUUGGCUCAUGUGAUUGUGGAGGCUGGCAAGUCCAAAAUCUGCAGAGUAGGCUAGCAGGCUGGACACCCAGGGAAGAGUUGCAGCCUUAGUCCAAAUAUAGUCUGGAGGCUAGAAAUCCGAGAUCAAGGUGUUGGCAGAGUUGAUUUCUUCUGAGGCCUCUCUCCUUGGCUUGCAGAUGGCCGCCUUCUCCUUGUGUCUUCACAUGGUCCUCCCUCUGUACAUGACUGUAUCUUAAUAUCCUCUUCUUAUAAGGACACCUGUCAUAUUUGAUUAGGGUCCAUCUUAAUGACUUCGUUUUAACUGAAUUACCUCUUAAAAGACCCUAUCUCCAAAUAUAGUCACAUUCUGAGAUACUUGGGGUUAGGAUUUCAACGUAUAAAUUUUGAGGGGGACACAAUUCAGCCCAUGACACUCACCUCUUCCACCAUGCUUCUAUUUCCUUUGAGAAAAAAAUGCUCACUAAUCUCCCCAUUUUUUUUUUUGCUGUUUUCUGUUAGGAGGUGAGGACAACAGGAGGUCUUUGGUGUGCCCUCAGAAGUCCGCCUUCAAUUCUCACCCAGCCACUCUGAGAAUGGAGUGGAGACGGGAGCUGUUUCUCAACUUCACCGUUGUCCUGAUUACAGUUCUCCUUAUGUGGCUCCUUGUGAGGUCCUAUCAGUAGUGAGAGGCCAUGCCACGCUCCUGGGAUUGACUGCAACACUCCAGAGCUGCCUGCUGUAUGCCCUGAGACCUCACCGCUGUCAUGGGAUGCCUUUCCUGGCACCCCAAGACACUUCUGACCUGCACUCACAAUAUCUGAGGUGCCUCCAGUGCUAGGAUCGAUUGUGUGUUCUCUAAGGAUGCUGCUCUCAAGGGCUCCCAAGCGUUUGCCUGCGAGCAUUAGAUUUAUUCCCCCAACUCUUACUGCAAACAUGUUAGACAAGCCACAAGGUUAAAAUUAAACUGGAUUCCCGGUGAUGUAGAAUUGUAACAAGCCUCUGAUCUGUCUUACCACACGUCCCUUCAACCCACACUGUCUGCAACCAAACUCUAAAUCAACCUGCCAGAAGAAAGAAAUGUUAGACCAAGUCUUUGUCAGCUCCUAUAGCUACUGUGUGAAUAAAGUUAAGUCAACCACAAAAACGAC
rnacentral:lncRNA from 1 species